rnacentral:tRNA from 1 species
GCACUCGUAGCUCAGCUGGAUAGAGCGCUGCCCUCCGAAGGCAGAGGUCACAAGUUCGAAUCUUGUCGAGUGCACCA